rnacentral:rRNA from 1 species
CAAUAGCGUAUAUUAAAGUUGUUGCGGUUAAAAAGCUCGUAGUUGGAUUUCUGCUGAGAACGACCGGUCCGCCCUCUGGGUGUGUAUCUGGCUCUUUCUUGGCAUCUUCUUGGUGAACGUUGCUGCACUUGACUGUGUGGAGCGCUACCCAGGACUUUUACUUUGAGGAAAUUAGAGUGUUUCAAGCAGGCAUACGCCUUGAAUACAUUAGCAUGGAAUAAUAAGAUAGGACCUCGGUUCUAUUUUGUUGGUUUCUAGAGCUGAGGUAAUGAUUAAUAGGGAUAGUUGGGGGCAUUCGUAUUUAACUGUCAGAGGUGAAAUCCUUGGAUUUGUUAAAGACGGACUACUGCGAAAGCAUUUGCCAAGGAUGUUUUCAUUGA